GACGAACGCUGGCGGCGUGCCUAAUACAUGCAAGUCGAACGCUUCUUUCCUCCCGAGUGCUUGCACUCAAUUGGAAAGAGGAGUGGCGGACGGGUGAGUAACACAUGGGUAACCUACCCAUCAGAGGGGGAUAACACUUGGAAACAGGUGCUAAUACCGCAUAACAGUUUAUGCCGCAUGGCAUAAGAGUGAAAGGCGCUUUCGGGUGUCGCUGAUGGCUGGACCCGCGGUGCAUUAGCUAGUUGGUGAGGUAACGGCUCACCAAGGCCACGAUGCAUAGCCGACCUGAGAGGGUGAUCGGCCACACUGGACUGAGACACGGCCCAGACUCCUACGGGAGGCAGCAGUAGGGAAUCUUCGGCAGUGGACGGAAGUCUGACCGAGCAACGCCGCGUGAGUGAAGAAGGUUUUCGGAUCGUAAAACUCUGUUGUUAGAGAAGAACAAGGACGUUAGUAACUGAACGUCCCCUGACGGUAUCUAACCAGAAAGCCACGGCUAACUACGUGCCAGCAGCCGCGGUAA
rnacentral:rRNA from 1 species